UUUCUUCCAUUUUUGUCUUCACAUCCCUUGAUUGCUCAACACACCCCUGUGACCCCCAUCAUUUUUCUAGCUACACCCCUAAUUUUCAUUCUGUUUUUAUCUUUUAUAUAUUUUUUAUUUUUUAUUUUCUUAUUAUUGCUUUAUCUAUUUAUUUUUUUUCUUUCUUUUAUUUCUUUCAGUUUUUUAAUUCUUUGACCUCUUGUGUUGAUAGUGUGCCCCCUCCCUUUUAUCAUUUUUAUCAUAUUUUUUAUUGCUUUAUUUU
rnacentral:lncRNA from 1 species